UGGGGAAUAUUGCACAAUGGGCGCAAGCCUGAUGCAGCCAUGCCGCGUGUGUGAAGAAGGCCUUCGGGUUGUAAAGCACUUUCCGCGGGGAGGAAGGCGUUAAGGUUAAUAACCUUGGCGAUUGACGUUACCCGCAGAAGAAGCACCGGCUAACUCCGUGCCAGCAGCCGCGGUAAUACGGAGGGUGCAAGCGUUAAUCGGAAUUACUGGGCGUAAAGCGCACGCAGGCGGUCUGUCAAGUCGGAUGUGAAAUCCCCGGGCUCAACCUGGGAACUGCAUUCGAAACUGGCAGGCUAGAGUCUUGUAGAGGGGGGUAGAAUUCCAGGUGUAGCGGUGAAAUGCGUAGUGAUCUGGAGGAAUACCGGUGGCGAAGGCGGCCCCCUGGACAAAGACUGACGCUCAGGUGCGAAGGCGUGGGGAGCAAACAGG
rnacentral:rRNA from 1 species